rnacentral:lncRNA from 1 species
AAUCCCUUGGAAAUAUAGUGAAUGAUUACAAAAACAUAAUAAAAUUGGGAGUCUAGCCCAUAGCCCUAUCUACUUAUACGGCCAGAUAAGUAAGGACUGACAUAGUUUAUAUAUUAUAUUUAAAGUAUUAAUAAGUGUUAAUAACUAUUCAAUUUUGUUGAGAAAUAAUUUACAAAUAUUAUAUAUAAAGUAUACAAUGUGAUGAUCUGCUCUACAUAUACAUUGUGCAAAGUUUACCAAGCUAAGAUAAUUAACAUACUCAUCUCACAUAAGUGGUCUUUUGUAUGCCUGUGUGUAAUGUUGUAGGGGAGGAAAAUUUUUCCCUUCUUUCCUUACAGUUUCUUUGGCUGCUGUAAUAAAUAAAUUGACAUAAGACAGUUUAACAAGAGAAAAAGGAAUUUAAUUACAUAUUUACCAGAGCCCCAUAAAGACAUGGAACUCAAAGACAAGUUGGGUAACUGAAUCUUAUAUGCCAUCCUUAGCUAAGGAAUGGAAUAGGUCAUGGUGGGGGUUGUGUCCUAUUUAGGGACAAAAGCCUAACUGAUUUAGAAGGAGAAUACAUGAAAAGAUGCUUUACAUCAUGUGUAAUUAGGGAAACAAAAUGACCAGAUGCCACUACACACUUUUAGAAUGGCCAAAAUCCUGAGCACUGACAAUACCAAAUGCUAAUUAGAUAUGGAGUGAUAAGAACUCUUAUUCAUUGCUUGUUGGAAUGCAAAAUGGUAUAGCCAAUUUGUAAGGAUAUUUGAAAGUUUCUUACAAAAAUAAACAUAAUGUCAUAAUAUGAUACAACACCUUAGUUUUUAUGCAAAUGAGUUGAAAACUAAUGUCCACACAAAAAAACACAACAUAAACAUUUAUAGAAGUUUUAUAUGUUUCCAAAUCCUGUAAGCAGCCAAAAAUAUCCUUCAGUAGAUGACUAGAAUAAUAAAUUGUGGUACUAUCACACAAAGUAAUAUUCAUCACUAAAAAGAACUGAGCUAUCAAGCCAUUAAAAAAAUGGAGGAAACUUAGAGGUAUAAUACUAAGUGAAAUAAACUAAUAUGAAAAUGCUAUAUAUACUGUAUGAUUUCAACUAUUUGACAUAUUUGAAAAGGCAAAACUAUGAAGACAGUUAAACAAAAACAAAAACAAAAACCAGUGGUUGCCAGGGAUUAGUAUGGUGAGAGGUAUAAAAAAGUGGAGCACAGAAUUUUAGAGCAGUAAAAUUAUUCAGUAUGUUACUACAAUGAUAGAUACACAUCAUUAUGAAUUUGUCCAAACCCAUAGAUUUUACAAUGGCAAGAAUGAAACCUAAUAUAAGCUAUGGACUUUGGCUAUAAUGAUGUAUUGACUUUGACCUAUCAAUUGUAACAAAUGUAUAACCCAGUGGGGGAUAUUUGUAAUGACAGAGGCUCUGUGUGUGUGGAGGCAGGAGGUAUAUAGUAAAUCUCUUCACCUUCCCAUCGAUAAUUUUUGAACUGCUCUAAAUCUAAAGUCUAUGGAAAAAACACAGGUGUGCUUCACCAGGUUCUCCACUCAUUCUCACAAAGCCAAAAUCAAUGUGUUGCUCAGACUUGGUUCUCGUUUAGAGGACCUGGGAAAGAAUCCAUUUCCAAGCUCUUUCAGUUACUUGUUUUUGUAGCAUGAGCUUCUGGUCCUUGAUGAUGGUCAGAAGCCUUAGAGGCCUCACGAAUUCCCAUUCUUAUGUCCUAUCUUUACCAAACAUAAAGCCUUCUCAUGUUUGGAAUCUGACUUAUUUUAAAAGCAAAAUGUCUGCUUUUAAAAGACUCAUGUGAUUAUAUUAGUUCCAUGUUGAUAAACUCUCUUUUAAUUAACUCACAUUCAACUGACGAGUAACCUUAAUGAUAUUUGCAAAAGCUAAUUUUCCAUGAAAUAUAACAUAAUCACAGACAUCCAUUUCAUUAAGUUCAUAGUCUUGGGAAUUCAGUUGAAACACCUUGGGGAGUCCUUUUAGGAUUCUGCCUACCACAUUUUACAAGCGUUUUAAUUUGGAGAUGUCUUUUUAUUAGCAUAUAACUUGAAUUCUUGAGAUAAUUUAGGAAAUCUGAAUAUUUAAUGAUAUUUUUAUUCAGUUUAAUGUCAUCAAUUAUCAACUCAUUGCUUCUGAGCUCCAAAAUCUCUUUUUACUUAUUCUGUGAAAAUGGAUCUGGACCAUUAUUUUUUUUUCCCAUUGUCAGUAGAGGGCACUAGAAAAAGUGGGUACUAGGGUGCUUGUUCAGAUAGUUCCUCCAGUGUGUGUGUCUUCCCAGCACCCGGCUUCUGUGGUGAAUUCAGUUUCUUCAGUGUCAGGUUAUCUGCCCUGCACACUGCAUUUCCAGGGCCUGACGGCCAGCAGCAAACACAGUCAAAAGCUUCAUGGCAGCCCUUAGGUUGGUUUUCUAAUGGAAACACCUCCCAACUAUAUUCUAGAGGAUGAAUUUCCAGUACUUUCUGGAGGGCAAGCCUGCAAAUUCUGCCAGCACAAAGAUGGUGUUUUAUCUGAAUUCAGUGAUUCAUGGUUGAGCACCUUUCAACAAGUAGAUUUCUGUCUUGGUCAGUGGAGACAUAUUGCUUCAGCACUUAUCUCAGCCCCUCUUAUCUCAACCACUAUAAGUGGUUACUCCUUAUAUCUGCUAUUCCUGUAUUUAGAGUUCUGCUUAUUCUCCUUAGACAAUUGAUUGUCUCUGGUUUUCUGAUAUAGUUAAUUUAUUUUUAUCAUUCCCAUUUUUCAUAUUGCACAGUCAUUCCCACCUGAUGGGACCCAUACUGAGAGAUACACAAAUAGUAAUUACUUACAAUAUAUUCAUGUAUAUCAUGUCUGUUUUUAGAUCUGGCACUGUUCUAAACCAACCUCUAUCAUAUAAAUAAUUCUUCAAGUGUUUUAUAUUUUGAGAAACUGAAUUUUAUUAAAUUUUAAAUAAAUAUAAGGUAUAUGGAAUAACUGGAAUUUACACUAAAACAUUCAAUUUCAUGAGUUUAUUCUGCAAAUACUUUUAGAUUUAGGUUAAUUUCCAGUAUGUCAUUUUGUGUUUGGUAGUAAAUCUUUAGUUUCUAUUCUUCAUUUUAGAAAUAAAUUCUCUUGUUUGCCUUGAAAUUGAGUUUGACUUUAAAUCUACCAAGAUUUAAAAGUGAUUUCUAUUUCUACUUUUAUAAUAGUCAACCUUAAUGUUUUUUAUAUAUGUACUCUCCUGAAAAUAAAUCCUGGAGUCCUAUCCUCUCUAAUAAGAUACAAAUAUUUAUUUUUAAUUUUUUUCCUCUUUUCUCUUUUUUUUCUCUUUUUCUUCUCAUUUAUUUUGUAAUACCCACUUAUAGGAGUAUACAACCCUUGAUACAUAUGGACAGUUUGGGUAUCUUAAUAUCAGCUCCUCUUUAGAGCCAAUUCAAGGCUAUGUCUUCUACCCAAGGAAGGCUUUAGAACUUAUGUGCUUUUUAUUGCAAAUAAUCCCAGGAAUAGCCUUUCCCACUCUCCUCAACUGAGCUGUUGUUUUAGGUCAGGAUUAUUUGAAUUUCAGAAACAUUUUUUGUUUUGAGUCUUGGAAUGAUCAAUUACUUUUGUAGAAACUGGGUUUUACAUUAAUAUUUUUUCUAAUAUUUCCAGGCAUUUUACAAAGGAAAGUAUUCAGGGUAUUUACAUCUACAAGGGAGUUUUAAGAAAUGGAAAUGAUAAGAAAAACAAUGUUAAUACAUUUGAAAUUUUUGCUAAUAUAUACAGUUCUUCAGGAACAUUCAAAUAAUCACAUAAAACUCUAAUAAUAAAAUAGCUUUCUAACAAUUAAAUUAACCAUAUAAUCUACAAGUUAUACUCCCAGUAUCAUGCAUAUAUUUAUGAUCGUGAUUAUUUUAGUAACAUCUCAAAUAGCGUCCACAACUAGCCAAUUUUUAUGGCUAUUGCAAAACUGCCUUUACAAUUGUCUAAUUUAUUGUCAUCUCUCACCAAAGCCACCCCAAUAGACGCCUAUGUUUCCUAGCUUCAUUCUUGCCCUUCUUCUUUCUGUUCUCCAUGCAAACUAGAGUGAUACCAACUUUCCUCAAAGCUAUUUGAAAGCAAGAUUCACAAAAGCAGAGAUUUUUUUCUUUGUUCUCUCUGACAAACUCAAAUUCUUAGUAGAAGGC